GGAAAGUCCGUUGCCGAGCGGAGCAAAGCAUACUUACCUGGCGUAGAGGUUAACCGUGAUCACGAAGGCGGUUCCUCCGGAGUGAGGCUUGGCCAUUGCACUUCGGCUGAGUUGACCUCUGCGAUUAUUCCUAAUGUGAAUAACUCGUGCGUGUAAUUUUUGGUAGCCGGGAAUGGCGUUCGCGCCGUCCCGACAUUAUACAAUAAAUUUAAAUAGAGAAGAAAUGGCUGGGAGAACGGGUUGUAGAUGGAGACAAUGUAGCUUGUGUUUUUGUACUACAACGAAAUGUUGAAUCGUCUGACCUGAGUUCAAAUCCCACUCAUGACCAACUUAUUUUAGUGGCUUAUUUGGUGAUUUUGGCCAGAAAUUAAAUCUGUUUUUUGUUUCUGCUGUUUUUGAAACCUUUAAAAUAAAUCUUUCGCUAUGAAAGCCGGCUGAGCAAGGAAACAUUCUGAUGAAUCGAGAUUUUCUGUGAUGGAAGGCAGCCAACACUAAAUAAUGCUCCAAUGCCUCUAAGAAGCAAGCGACCUGUCUUGAAUGGAUGGCACAGGAAUGGUCGGCGUUUGCUUGGACUUCAGGCUUCCAGGCUCAGCCCAUGUCCACUAGUUAGAGCAGAAGACGCUCCAUUGAAGCCAGUGCUGAGAGGACGAGAGACUGAGUCUUUCUUCCUUACAAAUUUGAAACCCGUACCAAAAUCGCACGUAACGCUGGACUAGUUAGUUCUCAACAGAGAGGAUUGCUUGGCAGGACUCCUCGUGCCGGAGGGAACGGAUCUUGGUGGAUGACAGCCUUAAAAGCAAGCAUGGUCCAUGGUCCUACGAUUCGGAAAUGUUUCAAACGUCUCGGAACUUAUAAUAAUUCAAAAAUAUGUCCAGCAGCUCGUAAAUCUUAUUGAGAAAACAAUCUCACAAUCUCGAGGGAAACAGCAUCCCCAUAGUUUCUUGAAUCAAUCAAACACAUCGGCUAUGCAUCAUGAAUUCAAGGAAUGCUUUUGCCCACCCACAAUCGAAGACUAUGCUUUCCCAUAAAUCAAUAAACACUCGUUCUGUUGUUUGUUUUUUUAUCGUGGAUGUGUGUAUUGCUAGAAAGUUAUUUUACAUUUUGUAUUUAUUAUGAACUAUUUUGUUGUUGGUUUUGUUUUGUUUGUUUCUCGUUUUUUUUUUUGUUUGCUAGCGCAAUGCUGCGGCGCAACACUCGAUGAACACACAAGAGUGUUUAAUGCAUACAAAAUAAU